rnacentral:rRNA from 7 species
GGUUAAGCGACUAAGCGUACACGGUGGAUGCCCUGGCAGUCAGAGGCGAUGAAGGACGUGCUAAUCUGCGAUAAGCGCCGGUAAGGUGAUAUGAACCGUUAUAAC